AGCACACAGGUUUUGCCCAGGGAGGAUGGAGUGGGCAGUUUGGUUUGUGACUGGAGCAGGACGUGAGUGAGGUUUUAUAGAUCCGUAUGCCUGGCUGUUCUGAGCUUAUCAUCCCUGUGCUGAGGAGGCCAUUGCGGUCAGUGGGGCAGAGUGGUUGUAGGGUUCCUGUUAUGGCCAGGAUACAGGGGUUUUGUGAGGUCUAAGGCAAGAUCCCUCAGUUUCAGAGGCUCAGAACUGGGUUUGUUGGGAGGCGGAGAUGGAACAGGAAGGAUGAGAAGAGGCUAGACGAGGUCCAGACAGCUCCCCAUCACACCCCGGCGUUAGGAGCACGCCUUUCUCCUCUUCCUUUAUCGGAUCAAAGUCUUCCAUCAAGCUGUCUGGUUCUGUCUUAUUCAAUUAAACUUUUUAAUCCAAUUUGACCCAUGCAUUCAUCUUCUUUGAAAUCUGAGAGACGACAGCAUCCGCUACAAAUUGAGAGUAAAUGGCCGAAUUAGCUUUCAGAGAGGAUCCAAGGAGACUGUUUCUUCCCAGGGA
rnacentral:lncRNA from 1 species